rnacentral:rRNA from 1 species
UGGGGAAUUUUGCGCAAUGGGCGAAAGCCUGACGCAGCAACGCCGCGUGGAGGAUGAAGGUCUUCGGAUCGUAAACUCCUGUCAGUGGGGACGAAAGCUCCGAAAGGAGUUUGACUGUACCCGCUGAGGAAGCCACGGCUAACUCCGUGCCAGCAGCCGCGGUAAUACGGAGGUGGCAAGCGUUGUUCGGAAUUACUGGGCGUAAAGGGCGCGUAGGCGGCUUGGCAAGUCAGAUGUGAAAGCCCCGGGCUUAACCCGGGAAUUGCAUCUGAAACUGCUUUGCUUGAGUCCCGGAGGGGGUAGUGGAAUUCCCAGUGUAGCGGUGAAAUGCGUAGAUAUUGGGAGGAACACCUGUGGCGAAGGCGGCUACCUGGACGGUGACUGACGCUGAGGCGCGAAAGCUAGGGUAGCAAACGGGAUUAGAUACCCCGGUAGUCCUAGCCGUAAACGAUGAGCGCUGGGUGUAGGGGGUAUGAACCCCCCCUGUGCCGAAGCUAACGCAUUAAGCGCUCCGCCUGGGGAGUACGGGUCGCAAGGGCUG